rnacentral:rRNA from 1 species
GACGAACGCUGGCGGCGUGCUUAACACAUGCAAGUCGAACGGAAAGGCCCUGCUUUUGUGGGGUGCUCGAGUGGCGAACGGGUGAGUAACACGUGAGUAACCUGCCCUUGACUUUGGGAUAACUUCAGGAAACUGGGGCUAAUACCGGAUAGGAGCUCCUGCUGCAUGGUGGGGGUUGGAGAGUUUCGGCGGUUGGGGAUGGACUCGCGGCUUAUCAGCUUGUUGGUGGGGUAGUGGCUUACCAAGGCUUUGACGGGUAGCCGGCCUGAGAGGGUGACCGGCCACAUUGGGACUGAGAUACGGCCCAGACUCCUACGGGAGGCAGCAGUGGGGAAUAUUGCACAAUGGGCGGAAGCCUGAUGCAGCAACGCCGCGUGCGGGAUGACGGCCUUCGGGUUGUAAACCGCUUUCGCCUGUGACGAAGCGUGAGUGACGGUAAUGGGUAAAGAAGCACCGGCUAACUACGUGCCAGCAGCCGCGGUGAUACGUAGGGUGCGAGCGUUGUCCGGAUUUAUUGGGCGUAAAGGGCUCGUAGGUGGUUGAUCGCGUCGGAAGUGUAAUCUUGGGGCUUAACCCUGAUCGUGCUUUCGAUACGGGUUGACUUGAGGAAGGUAGGGGAGAAUGGAAUUCCUGGUGGAGCGGUGGAAUGCGCAGAUAUCAGGAGGAACACCAGUGGCGAAGGCGGUUCUCUGGGCCUUUCCUGACGCUGAGGAGCGAAAGCGUGGGGAGCGAACAGGCUUAGAUACCCUGGUAGUCCACGCUGUAAACGGUGGGUACUAGGUGUGGGGUCCAUUCCACGGGUUCCGUGCCGUAGCUAACGCUUUAAGUACCCCGCCUGGGGAGUACGGCCGCAAGGCUAAAACUCAAAGGAAUUGACGGGGCCCCGCACAAGCGGCGGAGCAUGCGGAUUAAUUCGAUGCAACGCGUAGAACCUUACCUGGGUUUGACAUGGAUCGGGAGUGCUCAGAGAUGGGUGUGCCUCUUUUGGGGUCGGUUCACAGGUGGUGCAUGGCUGUCGUCAGCUCGUGUCGUGAGAUGUUGGGUUAAGUCCCGCAACGAGCGCAACCCUUGUUCACUGUUGCCAGCACGUUAUGGUGGGGACUCAGUGGAGACCGCCGGGGUCAACUCGGAGGAAGGUGGGGAUGACGUCAAGUCAUCAUGCCCCUUAUGUCCAGGGCUUCACGCAUGCUACAAUGGCUGGUACAGAGAGUGGCGAGCCUGUGAGGGUGAGCGAAUCUCGGAAAGCCGGUCUCAGUUCGGAUUGGGGUCUGCAACUCGACCUCAUGAAGUCGGAGUCGCUAGUAAUCGCAGAUCAGCAACGCUGCGGUGAAUACGUUCCCGGG